rnacentral:rRNA from 1 species
CCCUUAGAUGUUCUGGGCCGCACACGCGCUACACUGAAGGAGGCAGCGUGUACUCCUGGAUCGAAAGAUUUGGGUAACCCGCGAAUCUCCUUCGUGCUAGGGAUUGAGGUUUGCAAUUAUCCUUCAUGAACGAGGAAUUCCCAGUAAGUGCAAGUCAUAAGCUUGCGCUGACUACGUCCCUGCCCUUUGUACACACCGCCCGUCGCCACUACCGAUUGAAUGAUUUAGUGAGGACUUCGGACUGGGACCGAUGCGGCUUUCGGGCUGCGUCGGUAUUCUGGAAAGAUGUCCAAACUGUAUCAUUUAGAGGAAGUAAAANUCGUAACA